rnacentral:tRNA from 1 species
GGGGUUCUGGCUCAGUGGUAGAGCGCUUGCCUAGCACGUGUGAGGCGCUGAGUUUGAGCCUCAGCACCACA